rnacentral:rRNA from 1 species
GCCAGACUCCUACGGGAGGCAGCAGUGGGGAAUAUUGCACAAUGGGGGAAACCCUGAUGCAGCGACGCCGCGUGAAGGACGAAGUAUUUCGGUACGUAAACUUCUAUCAGCAGGGAAGAAAAUGACGGUACCUGAUUAAGAAGCCCCGGCUAACUACGUGCCAGCAGCCGCGGUAAUACGUAGGGGGCAAGCGUUAUCCGGAUUUACUGGGUGUAAAGGGAGCGUAGACGGCAGCACAAGUCUGGAGUGAAAUGCCGGGGCUUAACCCCGGAACUGCUUUGGAAACUGUGCAGCUAGAGUGCAGGAGAGGUAAGUGGAAUUCCUAGUGUAGCGGUGAAAUGCGUAGAUAUUAGGAGGAACACCAGUGGCGAAGGCGGCUUACUGGACUGUAACUGACGCUGAGGCACGAAAGCGUGGGUAUCGAACAGGAUUAGAUACCCGCGUAA